UCCACUCCCGCACCCGCACCCACAAGCGCACUCGCAGCCGCACGGCCACCGGCUUCUCCGCAGCACCUCCAACUCCGCCUAAAGGGGGCAGCACCCGGGCCAGACAAGGUUUUGAGGACUUGAAGUGGGACGAGCACAGUUCUUUUGUCUUCACUAGGAUCAAAACCAAAACGGUCUUCCCGCCCGCACCGGAUCAAGCAGUUUGGACAUCACCCUACUGAAAACUUGCGGCUCUUCGUAGUUUUUGCUUACUCUUCAUCACGAUGCAGGAGAUGAUUUCGAGUCAAGAAGACUUUAUUUAUGAACCUUGGAAGGGAUCUUCUAGGAUGGUGAACUUUCUAGGAGCGAUGAUGUACUGUAAUUUUAUUUUAACGUAUUUUGAUUUAUGGUUAUUUAUUAGUUUUUAAAAAAUGCUUGUUCUAAGACAUUUCUGAAUGUAGGCCAUUUUCCAAAAAGGAAACUUUAUUUUCAAGAACCUAUUCCCUAGUAAGUCCUAAUCUUGGAAAAGAAAAAAGGGCGGUGGAGGGGAAAACAUUAAGAAUCCAUUCAUUAUUCCCAGGGCAUUUUCAGAAGGUCUGACACUUUCAUUGUUAUGCCAGGUGGUUGAAAUUAAACUUUGAUAUUAGGUGGUUUUUUUUGAGAUUUUUUUUCCUUAGACAUAUAGUUUGUAUAAAGUAGAAGUUUAAAAAAGCUUAAAGUUCAGAAUUGUGUAAUUAUGAAAAUCUAAUGCUCAAGAUAUUGCUUUUCUAAAAGAAAAUUAGUAGUAAUGGUAUCUGAUUUCAAAAUAUUUAAAACAUAACCCAACUGAUGGCAGGAUGAUUAUAUGUUGGUUAUGUGGUAGGCCUGGGUCAGCUGUAGGGAAAACCCUGCUUAUAUCAUGUGUGUGUGAAGGAGAAGAUGUCUUUUGACUGAUUUAUGAGCAUGAAUGUGCUAGAUGUUUCAUUUCAAGAAUGUGAGGGAAAAGAGAAUCAAUCAUUCAGCUUGUGUGAGAGAAUCUCAGCCCGUACAGACUAGAAUACUCUUCUCCAAGUGCUCUGCACACUUCCACUUGAGCCACAUUUUAUGAUCCUUUUACUUUGUUCUAGAAGCACACUAAAGAAUCUCAUUGUUUAAAGUACAGUUUGUAAAUAUUCCAAAGGACUCAGAGGUGUCGCUUUUUGUUUUCAUACUGAAAAUGCCGUUAAUUGGAGAAACCAAUUCUUGCUCUAUGAGAAAGUCGAGGGUUAUAUGUUUUGUUGUUAGGUUAGCUAAACUCAGAAACUGUAAAGGAAAGAACUGGGUAAACACUAGAUUUUCAGUGAGAAAACAACCCCAGUCUUGUCUUAGUAGCCACUUGUUCAGGAAUCUGUGGGGAGAAAAAGAGGAUGUGCUUUUAAAGGUAGAACAAACCCUCUUCUGUGUUAAAUCAAAAGGAUGGUCAAAGUCCACGAGGGCAGAUGCUACUUAAGUUUAAAUAGAGCCAUAGAUGAUACCAAAUCCUCUUGAGACUGAAAAUCACUUCCUAUCGGCAUGGCUUUACUAACUGUCCUCCGUUUUCCAUUAUCUUUUUCACACAGUCUUGGUCAGUGUUUUUCCAGCGUUUAAAUUGGAAUGGUCAGUUUUAGACCACUGCUAUGUUAUGCAGUCAAGAAGUGAAAAGAGAAUUGCCUGCUA